rnacentral:rRNA from 1 species
UCAGGAUGAACGCUAGCGGCAGGCUUAACACAUGCAAGUCGAGGGGCGAGCGCGGAGUAGCAAUACUCUGGCGGCGACCGGCGGAAGGGUGCGUAACACGUGAGCAACUUGCCCGUGACAGGGGGAUAAGCGAUGGAAACGUCGUCUAACAUCCCGUAACACGAGGGGAGGCAUCUCCCUUCGUUGAAAACUCCGGUGGUCACGGAUGGGCUCGCGGGACAUUAGCUAGUUGGCGGGGCAACGGCCCACCAAGGCGACGAUGUCUAGGGGUUCUGAGAGGAAGAUCCCCCACACUGGAACUGAGACACGGUCCAGACUCCUACGGGAGGCAGCAGUGAGGAAUAUUGGACAAUGGAGGCAACUCUGAUCCAGCCAUGCCCGCGUGAAGGACGAAGGCCCUAUGGGUCGUAAACUUCUUUUGUCAGGGAGCAAUAAGGGUCACGCGUGGCCCGACGAGAGUACCUGGCGAAUAAGCAUCGGCUAACUCCGUGCCAGCCGCGGC